ACGCUCGACACCUACGGGGGGCAGCAGUGGGGAAUAUUGCACAAUGGGGGAAACCCUGAUGCAGCGACGCCGCGUGAGCGAAGAAGUAUUUCGGUAUGUAAAGCUCUAUCAGCAGGGAAGAAAAUGACGGUACCUGACUAAGAAGCCCCGGCUAACUACGUGCCAGCAGCCGCGGUAAGUACUCGAGGCGGGCGUGGCGAAGGACG
rnacentral:rRNA from 1 species